UCUUCCAUAUCGGCACGAUGCUGCAGAUAUCUGGCCCGUUCCUCCUCCGACAUUUUGGCCAGUUUGUUCUUAUUUCCUCCUUUUUUCUUUCCCAUCUUGAAUAGAUUGAUAAACGGUCCGCGAUUUUCGAAUAUCUAACCUUUCACGUGAACAGCACAAUUAGAACUGUUUCGUGGGGACUCAUCCUGUUCAAGCAAUGGGGGUGUUGCUAAGGUAGCAAACAUAGUUUGGGGUCAGCGCGCGUUGUUUGCCGUUUCAAACAUCGCGCGGAUCGAUUUCUAUCGAAUCAGACGAAAUCAGCUAGCAGCGAUGGCGGACGCAGUCGAGGAUAUCUUCGCUGGAGAUAGCGAAGAGGACAUUCAGACGGUGAAAAAUAUGAUCGAAAAAAUUAAGCUCGAGAUCAUGGCCUACGGGGAGGGGGAGCACGAUUCGUACGAUCCGGAAAGUCUUCAGAAAGUGGAGUUCAAUAUUCAGAUCAAACGUGUUACACUAAUCUUGCAGGAGAUGUCUGAUACGUUGGAGGUACUAUUUUGUCUCCCGUUGAUUUGUAGAAAUCAAGCGCUAAUGGAUGAGCAUUUUGAUGCUGCCGAGCAAGACGUGUUGAGAGUUGUAUGUAAAUAUCUGAGAUCGAAAGACGACACAAGCCCCGUUCCGGAAGUUGUUAACAUGGAAGACUUUCACUUUCAUUCAACCAAAUUCAUUGAGCUUGCAGAAAUGGUAUCAAACAAGGAUCUCCACGCAGCUAUUGCCGGUCACGUAAAAAAUUUGCCUGGCAUCUAUCGGAAGUUCCUCUCCAACAUUCGCGAGUUUCGUAAGUUUACGAUUUCUAAGAUGAAGAUGACGGCCCAAAAGGAUCUUGCCAAGGAAAAGAUUUUGCACCGAAUGUGGCAAACCAAUGAACGCAACAUCAAGGAGAUCGCCAAAAUUGAGGAACUGCUCGAGGAAAAGAAAGCUUCAUUCCAAAAGGAGAUCGAGGAAAAGAAAGCCAUCAUCCAGAAGUAUCGGACGGAAAUUGAGCAAUUGGAAAAGCAGAGCAAGAAAGAGAUCGAUGCGUUCAUUGACGAAUCUGAUCGCAAGAUGUUCAUCUACUUCGAGAGAAGUGAUCAGCGGUAUGAGAGCCUUUUGGAAGAAGCUAAUCGUAGAACGAAAGAGUACCAGGCUACCUUGGAGGAAGAUUUACGAGUAGAGAAAGACAACCGUCUGAAGAAGGCGAAACUAACCCAGCAGCUAAAAUUGUUGCUGAACAAAUACGAUAAAGAUGCGGGUGAGAGAACGAAAGAGUUAAAUGCUUUGGCUGACACAAUGCGCGCUCGACAGGAAGAGUUUGACGAAUGGAAGAGAACGGUCUUCGAUAAACAGGAGAAGAAAUAUUUUGAAGCUAUCGAAGAACGUCGAUUGGAUGAGAUCCGCGCUCAUCAGGAGUUGGUACGGGCUUUCAUGAUGUCCCGAGCGGCCAGGAUUCUCCAAAGGGCUUGGCGUUCGGUGGCCGAGAGAAAACGGAAGAUGCGAGGCCGUCGCGGUGGACGUCGUGUUAAGGGCAAAAAGUAAAGUUCCUAGCUUCAGUACAAGCUGAUAGAAAUUGUGAACUAUUUGAAAUCACUAUUUGCAGGAAAUGAAAUUAAGGUUCCUUUAGAUCCGUACAUUCUUUGUGUGGACACCGACUGGACAACAUCGUUGCUGGACGAGCUGGA